rnacentral:rRNA from 1 species
GGCGGCCUAACACAUGCAAGUCGAGGGGAAACAGGGGAUUUCGGUUCCGCUGACGACCGGCGCCCGGGUGAGUAACGCGUAUGCAACCUACCUUAUUCAGGGGAAUAGCCCGAGGAAACUCGGAUUAAUACCCCAUAGUUUUUAUGAAUCGCAUGAUUUAUAAAAUAAAGAUUUAUCGGAAUAAGAUGGGCAUGCGUGCCAUUAGCUUGUUGGUAAGGUAACGGCUUACCAAGGCAACGAUGGCUAGGGGUUCUAAAAGGAUGAUCCCCCACACUGGUACUGAGACACGGACCAGACUCCUACGGGAGGCAGCAGUGAGGAAUAUUGGUCAAUGGUCGAUAGACUGAACCAGCCAUGCCGCGUGUAGGGUGACUGCCCUAAGGGUUGUAAACUACUUUUGUAUAGGAAGAACAGCAGAUACGUGUAUUUGUGUGACGGUACUAUACGAAUAAGCAUCGGCUAACUCCGUGCCAGCAGCCGCGGUAAUACGGAGGAUGCAAGCGUUAUCCGGAUUUAUUGGGUUUAAAGGGUGCGUAGGCGGAAAUAUAAGUCAGUGGUGAAAUCCUGCAGCUCAACUGUAGAACUGCCAUUGAUACUGUUUUUCUUGAGUAUAGUUGAGGUGGGCGGAAUGUGUCAUGUAGCGGUGAAAUGCUUAGAUAUGACACAGAACACCGAUUGCGUAGGCAGCUCACUAAACUAUCACUGACGCUGAGGCACGAAAGCGUGGGGAGCGAACAGGAUUAGAUACCCUGGUAGUCCACGCCGUAAACGAUGAUUACUCGUUGUGUGCGAUAUAUUGUACGCGACUAAGCGAAAGUAUUAAGUAAUCCACCUGGGGAGUACGUCGGCAACGAUGAAACUCAAAGGAAUUGACGGGGGCCCGCACAAGCGGAGGAACAUGUGGUUUAAUUCGAUGAUACGCGAGGAACCUUACCCGGGCUUAAAUGGAGAACGACCGCCGCCGAAAGGUGGCUUCCCUUCGGGGCGAUUUUCAAGGUGCUGCAUGGUUGUCGUCAGCUCGUGCCGUGAGGUGUCGGGUUAAGUCCCAUAACGAGCGCAACCCUCAUUGUUAGUUGCCAGCGGGUAAUGCCGGGGACUCUAACAAAACUGCCGGUGUAAACCGUGAGGAAGGUGGGGAUGACGUCAAAUCAGCACGGCCCUUAUGUCCAGGGCUACACACGUGUUACAAUGGCCGGUACAAAGGGCAGCUAUCUGGCAACAGAAUGCUAAUCUCUAAAACUGGUCUCAGUUCGGAUCGAAGUCUGCAACUCGACUUCGUGAAGUUGGAUUCGCUAGUAAUCGCGCAUCAGCAACGGCGCGGUGAAUACGUUCCCGGGCCUUGUACACACCGCCCGUCAAGCCAUGGAAGCCGAGGGUGCCUGAAGUACGUUACCGCAAGGAGCGUCCUAGGGUAAAAC